rnacentral:tRNA from 1 species
GGGCAUAUAGCUCAGUGGUAGAACAUUUAACUGCAGAUCAAGAGGUCCCCAGUUUAAAUUUGGGUUUCCCUG